rnacentral:rRNA from 1 species
UCCGAGUGAUUCCUGCUAAAGGAAUCUUUUGUUAGUCAUAAAACCACUGAUGAAUAAGGGGUGGGCAAGUUCUGGUGUCAGCCGCCGCGGUAAUACCAGCACCUCGAGUGGUCAGGAGGUUUAUUGGGCCUAAAGCAUCCGUAGCCGGCUGUUCAAGUUUCCGGUUAAAUCCACACGCUUAACGUAUGGACUGCCGGAAAUACUGUUCAGCUAGGGAGUGGGAGAGGUAGACGGUACUCGAUAGGUAGGGGUAAAAUCCUUUGAUCUAUUGAUGACCACCUGUGGCGAAGGCGGUCUACCAGAACACGUUCGACGGUGAGGGAUGAAAGCUGGGGGAGCAAACCGGAUUAGAUACCCGGGUAGUCCCAGCUGUAAACGAUGCAGACUCGGUGAUGCAUUGGCUUGUGGCCAGUGCAGUGCCGCAGGGAAGCCGUUAAGUUUGCCGCCUGGGAAGUACGUACGCAAGCAUGAAACUUAAAGGAAUUGGCGGGGGAGCACCACAAGGGGUGAAGCCUGCGGUUCAAUUGGAGUCAACGCCAGAAAUCUUACCCGGGGAGACAGCAGAAUGAAGGUCAAGCUGAAGACUUUACCAGACAAGCUGAGAGGUGGUGCAUGGCCGUCGCCAGCUCGUGCCGUGAGGUGUCCUGUUAAGUCAGGUAACGAGCGAGACCCUUGCCUCUAGUUGC